rnacentral:rRNA from 1 species
AGACCCGAAACCCGGUGAUCUAGCCAUGGGCAGGUUGAAGGUUGGGUAACACUAACUGGAGGACCGAACCGACUAAUGUUGAAAAAUUAGCGGAUGACCUGUGGCUGGGGGUGAAAGGCCAAUCAAACCGGGAGAUAGCUGGUUCUCCCCGAAAGCUAUUUAGGUAGCGCCUCGUGAAUUCAUCUCCGGGGGUAGAGCACUGUUUCGGCUAGGGGGCCAUCCCGGCUUACCAACCCGAUGCAAACUGCGAAUACCGGAGAAUGUUAUCACGGGAGACACACGGCGGGUGCUAACGUCCGUCGUGAAGAGGGAAACAACCCAGACCGCCAGCUAAGGUCCCAAAGUCAUGGUUAAGUGGGAAACGAUGUGGGAAGGCCCAGACAGCCAGGAUGUUGGCUUAGAAGCAGCCAUCAUUUAAAGAAAGCGUAAUAGCUCACUGGUCGAGUCGGCCUGCGCGGAAGAUGUAACGGGGCUAAACCAUGCACCGAAGCUGCGGCAGCGACACUCAGGUGUUGUUGGGUAGGGGAGCGUUCUGUAAGCCUGUGAAGGUGGCCUGUGAGGGUUGCUGGAGGUAUCAGAAGUGCGAAUGCUGACAUAAGUAACGAUAAAGCGGGUGAAAAGCCCGCUCGCCGGAAGACCAAGGGUUCCUGUCCAACGUUAAUCGGGGCAGGGUGAGUCGACCCCUAAGGCGAGGCCGAAAGGCGUAGUCGAUGGGAAACGGGUUAAUAUUCCCGUACUUGGUGUUACUGCGAAGGGGGGACGGAGAAGGCUAUGUUGGCCGGGCGACGGUUGUCCCGGUUUAAGCGUGUAGGUGUGUGUUCCAGGUAAAUCCGGUUCACUUUAACACUGAGGCGUGAUGACGAGGCACUACGGUGCUGAAGCAACAAAUGCCCUGCUUCCAGGAAAAGCCUCUAAGCAUCAGGUAACAUCAAAUCGUACCCCAAACCGACACAGGUGGUCAGGUAGAGAAUACCAAGGCGCUUGAGAGAACUCGGGUGAAGGAACUAGGCAAAAUGGUGCCGUAACUUCGGGAGAAGGCACGCUGACAUGUAGGUGAAGUGAUUUACUCA